CUUUACGGCGGGCCGGGCGGGGCUAGCUUCGGCUGGGCCGGUUUCCGUAUCGUCCGGUUUUCUCACCCCCGUCGUCUGGCCCGCCACCUCA
rnacentral:antisense_RNA from 1 species